UGAAUACGAGACGCUAAGGCGUCGAAGUAGUGUAUGUCAUACUUCCAAGAAAAGCUUGCACUGUCAUAGAUAAAAAACGCCUGUACCAUAACCGACACAGGUGGGUAGGUAGAGUAUACUAAGGGGCGCGAGAUAACUCUCUCUAAGGAACUCGGCAAAAUAACUCCGUAACUUCGGGAGAAGGAGUGCCUUAUUCUUAAGGUUGCAAUAACAAGAUCCAAGCAACUGUUUAUCAAAAACACAGGUCUCCGCUAAGUCGUAAGACGAUGUAUGGGGGCUGACGCCUGCCCAGUGCCAGAAGGUUAAAGAAGCUGGUUAGCAUUUGCGAAGCUAGUAACUGAAGCCCUGGUGAACGGCGGCCGUAACUAUAACGGUCCUAAGGUAGCGAAAUUCCUUGUCGGGUAAGUUCCGACCCGCACGAAAGGCGUAAUGAUUUGGAUACUGUCUCGGAGAGGGGCUCGGUGAAAUAGACUUGUCUGUGAAGAUGCGGACUACCUGCACCAGGACAGAAAGACCCUAUGAAGCUUUACUGUAACUUGAAAUUGAAAUUGGACUUUAUUCGCGCAGUAUAGGUGGGAGGCGUUGAUUAUAAUCUUGCGGGAUUAUUGGAGCCAUUAGUGAGAUACCACUCUUGUAAUGUUAGAUUUCUAACUUUGAAUCAUUAUCUGGUCAAAGAACAGUUUCAGGCGGGCAGUUUGACUGGGGCGGUCGCCUCCCAAACGGUAACGGAGGCGUACAAAGGCUUCCUCUGAACGGUUAGAAAUCGUAUCUAGAGUGUAAAGGCAUAAGGAAGCUUGACUGUGAGACCUACAAGUCGAGCAGGGACGAAAGUCGGUCUUAGUGAUCUGACGGUACUGAGUGGAAAGGCCGUCACUCAACGGAUAAAAGUUACUCUAAGGAUAACAGGCUGAUCUCCCCCAAGAGUUCACAUCGACGGGGAGGUUUGGCACCUCGAUGUCGGCUCAUCGCAUCCUGGGGCGGUAGUACGUCCCAAGGGUUGGGCUGUUCGCCCAUGAAAGCGGUACGCGAGCUGGGUUCAGAACGUCGUGAGACAGUUCGGUCCAUAUCCGGUGUAGGCGUUAGAAUAUUGAGAGGAGCCUUCUUUAGUACGAGAGGACCGAGAAGGACAUACCUCUGGUGUACCAGUUAUCGUGCCAACGGUAGACGCUGGGUAGCUAUGUAUGGAGUGGAUAACCGCUGAAAGCAUCUAAGUGGGAAGCCCACCUCAAGAUAAGUAUUCUCAUC
rnacentral:rRNA from 1 species